GAUGAACGCUGGCGGCGUGCCUAAUACAUGCAAGUCGAGCGCAUAAAUGAGGCGCUUUCUCGUAUUCCGUGAGGGGCGGACGGGUGAGUCCCACGUAGGUAACCUGUCUUUUAGGAUGGGAUCACUAUAGGAAACCUUAGCUAACACCGGAUAACAUGGAGAAACGCAUGGUUCUUCUGUGAUAGGGGUAUUUGCUGCGCCUAAGUCGGAUUAGCUAGUUGGUUGGGUAAAGGCCCACGAAGGCGACGAUCCGUAGCUGGCCUGAGAGGCUGAUCGGCCACACUGGAACUGAGACACGGUCCAGACUCCUACGGGAGGCAGCAGUGGGGAAUAUUGGACAAUGGGCGAAAGCCUGACCGAGCAAUGCCGCGUGUGUGAAGAAGGUCUUCGGAUUGUAAAGCCCUUUGAGUUGGGAGGAAGGGCAGUAAGUUAAAAUGUUGCUGUUUUGACGGUACCUAAACAGAAAGCCACGGCUAACUACGUG
rnacentral:rRNA from 1 species